rnacentral:rRNA from 1 species
UACGGAGGGGGCUAGUGUUGUUCGGAAUUACUGGGCGUAAAGGGCGCGCAGGCGGCUUGGCAAGUCGAGUGUGAAAUCCCUUAGCUUAACUAAGGAAUGGCGCUCGAAACUACCUCGCUAGAGGACGGGAGAGGGAAGUGGAACUCUCGGUGUAGGGGUGAAAUCUGUAGAUAUCGAGAGGAACACCGGUGGCGAAGGCGGCU